ensembl:lncRNA
GCCUUGAGAGCCUUCUGUAAGUGGAGGGGACCAUCUCAGAGGAAGGCCUGUGACUGUGACCUUCACGGGGCUCCUUUUGUUGGGCUAUGUGAAUGCCCUGUAGAGCCUCCCCCAGCCUCCAGCUGCUGUCCAGACUGUUCUCUGAAAACAGCACCCAGAUUCUUGCUUGAAGUUUCCAUCACCUUCUCCAGAGCAGCUCCUGCACCCUGAGUACCACUGCGUCUUCUUCCUUGGGUUCCUCCCUUCUUCUGGGGGAAGACGUCUUCCAGUAGCUUCCUGAGGAAGGGGACUGGGAGACUACUGGAAUGGUCCAGAAUGCCCAAGUUUUGUUAUCCCAAAUGAGUGUCUCAGGCCACCUCUCAGACAUCACUAAGGUAAC